GAUGAACGCUGACAGAAUGCUUAACACAUGCAAGUCAUUGGCGAAGCUGCGCUUGCGCAGUCUAGCCAAGGCGGACGGGUGAGUAACGCGUAAGGAACUUGCCCUGCAGACAGGGAUAACAGACGGAAACGACUGAUAACACCUGGUAUUGUCAGGCUGGCGCAUGCCGGCCUGAUGAAAGGAGACGCUGCAGGAGAGCCUUGCGUCCUAUUAGCUGGUUGGUGGGGUAACGGCCCACCAAGGCGAUGAUAGGUAGCCGGCCUGAGAGGGUGAACGGCCACAAGGGGACUGAGAUACGGCCCUUACUCCUACGGGAGGCAGCAGUGGGGAAUAUUGGACAAUGGGGGCAACCCUGAUCCAGCAAUUCUGUGUGCACGAAGAAGGUUUUCGGAUUGUAAAGUGCUUUCAGCAGGGAAGAAGAAAGUGACGGUACCUGCAGAAGAAGCGACGGCUAAAUACGUG
rnacentral:rRNA from 1 species